AGAGUUUGAUCCUGGCUCAGAAUCAACGCUGGCGGCGCGCCUAACACAUGCAAGUCGAACGAGAAAGCCGCAAGGUGAGUAAAGUGGCGUACGGGUGAGUAACACGUGGAUAAUCUGCCCUUUAGUGGGGAAUACCGCUGGGAAACCGGCGACAAUACCGCAUAAGCUCGAGAGAGGAAAGCAGCAAUGCGCUGAAGGAGGAGUCCGCGGUCGAUUAGUUAGUUGGCGGGGUAAAGGCCCACCAAGACUGUGAUCGAUAGCCGGCCUGAGAGGGCACACGGCCACACUGGCACUGAAACACGGGCCAGACUCCUACGGGAGGCAGCAGUGGGGAAUCUUGCACAAUGGGGGAAACCCUGAUGCAGCGACGCCGCGUGAGCGAUGAAGCCCCUCGGGGUGUAAAGCUCUUUCGGCAGGGAAGAUUAUGACGGUACCUGCAAAAGCAGCUGCGGCUAACUACGUGCCAGCAGCCGCGGUAAUACGUAGGCAGCAAGCGUUGUUCGGAGUUACUGGGCGUAAAGGGUGUGUAGGCGGCUUUUUAAGUUUGGUGUGAAAUCUCCCGGCUCAACUGGGAGGGUGCGCCGAAUACUGAGAGGCUAGAGUGUGGGAGAGGAAAGUGGAAUUCCUGGUGUAGCGGUGAAAUGCGUAGAUAUCAGGAGGAACACCGGUGGUGUAAACGGCUUUCUGGACCGUAACUGACGCUGAGACACGAAAGCGUGGGUAGCAAACAGGAUUAGAUACCCUGGUAGUCCACGCCCUAAACGAUGCAUAUUUGGUGUGGGCCAUUCAUUUGGUCCGUGCCGGAGCUAACGCGUUAAAUAUGCCGCCUGGGAAGUACAGUCGCA
rnacentral:rRNA from 1 species